GUGCUUACUUCAGCAACACACAUACUGAAAUUGACAUGAUACAGAAAGAUCAUCAUGGUACCUGUGCAAAGAUAGUGUGAAAAUUUGUGAAGCAUUCUGUAUUCCU